rnacentral:rRNA from 1 species
GAUGAACGCUGGCGGCGUGCCUAAUACAUGCAAGUCGAACGCUGGAAAUCUAGCUUGCUAGAUUGAAGGAGUGGCGAACGGGUGAGUAAUACAUAAGCAACCUACCCACGAAGACUGGGAUAAUCUCUGGAAACGGGGACUAAUACCGGAUAGGUAAUCGGAAGGCAUCUUCUGAUUAUUAAAGGUUAAAAACACUGGUGGAUGGGCUUAUGGCGCAUUAGUUAGUUGGUGAGGUAACGGCCCACCAAGACGAUGAUGCGUAGCCGGCCUGAGAGGGUGAACGGCCACAUUGGGACUGAGACACGGCCCAGACUCCUACGGGAGGCAGCAGUAGGGAAUUUUCGGCAAUGGGGGAAACCCUGACCGAGCAACGCCGCGUGAGUGAUGACGGCCUUCGGGUUGUAAAGCUCUGUUGUAAGGGAAGAACGGUAGAUAGAGAAUAUCUAAAUGACGGUUCCUUACCAGAAAGCCACGGCUAACUACGUG